CCCAGUUACUGUUACUUUCCUUCACAGCAGUGGUUGCCAACACACCCAGUCACUGUUCCUUUCCUUCACAGCAGUGGUUGCCAACACACCCAGUUACUGUUCCUUUCCUUCACAGCAGUGGUUGCCAACACACCCAGUUACUGUUCCUUUCCUUCACAGCAGUGGUUGCUAACACACCCAGUUACUGUUCCUUUCCUUCACAGCAGUGGUUGCUAACACACCCAGUUACUGUUCCUUUCCUUCACAGCAGUGGUUGCUAACACACCCAGUUACUGUUCCUUUCCUUCACAGCAGUGGUUGCCAACACACCCAGUUACUGUUCCUUUCCUUCACAGCAGUGGUUGCUAACACACCCAGUUACUGUUCCUUUCCUUCACAGCAGUGGUUGCUAACACACCCAGUUACUGUUCCUUUCCUUCACAGCAGUGGUUGCUAACACACCCAGUUACUGUUCCUUUCCUUCACAGCAGUGGUUGCCAACACACCCAGUUACUGUUCCUUUCCUUCACAGCAGUGGUUGCUAACACACCCAGUUACUGUUCCUUUCCUUCACAGCAGUGGUUGCUAACACACCCAGUUACUGUUCCUUUCCUUCACAGCAG